UUAGCGGAACUACACAGUAUGAUCUUAAACGGAGUGUCUCAUAAAAAGUGAGAAUCAAAAACAUCGGGCAAUUAAAAACUGAGAAUUUAGACCGAACUGAAAUUUGGAGCAGACAGCAUAAAACCAUAAGAAAUAGAAUCAGCAGGUCUUUCAGUUGUUGAUGAGUUCUUUCUAACUGUCACCUUUAUCCACACAUCCGAUAAGGAAGUUAUCAGUGUUCGGAGUAAAAGAAGGUGGAAAAUCAGAAAGAGAUAAUAAUGAAUAUGCAGAGUCAC